CAGUAACGGCGAGUGAAGCGGCAACAGCUCAAAUUUGAAAUCUGGCUCUCGGGCCCGAGUUGUAAUUUGUAGAGGAUGCUUUUGGUGAGGUGCCUUCCGAGUUCCCUGGAACGGGACGCCAUAGAGGGUGAGAGCCCCGUCUGGUUGGACGCCGAACCUCUGUAAAGCUCCUUCGACGAGUCGAGUAGUUUGGGAAUGCUGCUCUAAAUGGGAGGUAUAUGUCUUCUAAAGCUAAAUACCGGCCAGAGACCGAUAGCGCACAAGUAGAGUGAUCGAAAGAUGAAAAGAACUUUGAAAAGAGAGUUAAACAGUACGUGAAAUUGUUGAAAGGGAAGCGCUUGUGACCAGACUUGGGCUUGGUUGAUCAUCCGGGGUUCUCCCCGGUGCACUCUUCCGGCCCAGGCCAGCAUCAGUUCGCCCUGGGGGACAAAGGCAUCGGGAACGUGGCUCUCUCCGGGGAGUGUUAUAGCCCGUUGCGUAAUACCCUGUGGCGGACUGAGGUUCGCGCAUUCGCAAGGAUGCUGGCGUAAUGGUCAUCAGUGACCCGUCUUGAAACACGGACCAAGGAGUCGUCUUCGUAUGCGAGUGUUCGGGUGUCAAACCCCUACGCGAAAUGAAAGUGAACGCAGGUGAGAGCUUCGGCGCAUCAUCGACCGAUCCUGAUGUUUUCGGAUGGAUUUGAGUAAGAGCAUACGGGGCCGGACCCGAAAGAAGGUGAACUAUGCCUGUGUAGGGUGAAGCCAGAGGAAACUCUGGUGGAGGCUCGCAGCGGUUCUGACGUGCAAAUCGAUCGUCAAACAUGGGCAUGGGGGCGAAAGACUAAUCGAACCUUCUAGUAGCUGGUUUCCGCCGAAGUUUCCCUCAGGAUAGCAGUGUUGUACUCAGUUUUAUGAGGUAAAGCGAAUGAUUAGGGACUCGGGGGCGCUAUUUAGCCUUCAUCCAUUCUCAAACUUUAAAUAUGUAAGAAGCCCUUGUUGCUUAAUUGAACGUGGGCAUUCGAAUGAAUCAACACUAGUGGGCCAUUUUUG
rnacentral:rRNA from 1 species